GAACUUUCAAGCAUGGCCCGAGGUCAAUAUUUCAACCACUCUCGUCUUCAAGUAUCCUCUAAAAAGUGGUCGGGCCUAAUAAUCUGGCCCCGCUACAUGCCAAAAUAUUGUCCUUGUCUCGAGACUUUUUACGUGUUUUAAUCCUCUUAUAACUCAAUUACUCUAUCUGAUGAGGAUAAGGACUUUCAAUGGUUGAAUCCUUCUACAACUUAACCAUCAACGUCUAUAAAUACAAGACAUAGCCUCAUUAUUCAGAUAUGUUUUUACAAUACAUACUUUUACAUAAUUUCCCCGUCUGACUUAAAUAUCGGAGGGCGACAAGGACGCACCUCGUUGCCUUUGUUUCAGAUACUGGAAGGCUCCGUUCGUGCUUGAUCUCAGUCCUCAAUCUCAGGAAAUCAACAGGUACAAUUUUUGCAUCAUCAGUGGCGCCGUCUGUAGGAAGCAACACAUUAACCAUGUUUUUACCACAUUCAAAAAGUCACCGGAAGGACAAUAAUUUCAGACAGUUCCUCAACCAAGAAGCUCAAAGAGAUAUUUCUGCCUUCUGAAUGAUUUCAAAGUCCAACGUAGACAAAAAGAUGUACAUAUCAAAUUAAAAUAGGGCCGAAUUCAAAAACUCAGUUCUCAGAUCCAAUCUUCUUGCUUCUGAUCUCCUUUUGAACAAACUCCAAAAUGAAGAAAGAUCACUCCAAUAAACAUCAAUGGAACUCAUAAUUCAUCGAGAUACUUCCAACAUCAGUUUACUGUUUACCUACACAAUUCAAUUUCCAUCCUCUCUUUUCUCUCUUCAUUAUUGCUCCAAACACGAAAGAUAAUAUGGGUUUCGUUUUACAAUUGGAGUUUACUGUGAAAAUCCUCGAUUCCCAUCUCUCUGUUGGCUUUUGGAGAAGAAUUUUCGUUGUUUUUCAUGCAAAACAAAAAGGACCCAAGUGGAGUAGUCGUUGGAGAACCGUGUAUCAUCUUCUGCAACUCCAAUUUGUUAGUCUCGGAAUAUAUGCCAAAAUUCAACCUGUUUUGAAUAGUGAAUUGGGCCAAAAUUUUACAUAAAUUGAGCCCAAGAAUUAGGGUAAAAUGCCUAUUCAAUAUCGGGUUGCACUAAUUUUUUUGGGCGUACUAACUUUUCAACCUACCUAAAGAUUUUUGGCCUAUUGUCUGCCUCAAUAUUGGUUUUGCCUUCCCCCAUUUUGGAUCACAGUAAUUACCUUAUGCUACAAUGCUAAAUUGGACAUACCAACACCCUAUAGUUUCUAUUUUGGGUCUCCAUUAUGGGCUUUGCAUUAUUAUUGCAUCGUUGAGCCCGGAUGAAGCAUUCCAGCUCCCUGCAUGCUUCUUUUUCUCCUUGAUCCGUUUUCUCCUCCAUUGGCUGCUACAAUUACUUUACUUAGGCCAAUUGAUAAAAAAAAAUUAAAAAUGCUAGCUGAAGUUGGAUUCCCUACCCCUCACAAUUACUUAACCGUGGCUAUUCUUUGAGAUAAUGACAUAAAUUUAGUGGCUCCAAGAAGUUAUUUGCUAUGGCAAAAUGUGAGAGAUGUUUGAAAUGUGUUGCUAUAACUUUUGAUGGUACCGUGGAUGGCAUACAAAUCUCAAUCAUCUCAAAGGAAUUAUUUUUUUGCAAGUGCACGCAAACUGGAAAUAAUGCGAAUAAGUUAAGGUUUUACCAUGAAAAUACGCAGCACUCAGCUCUAAACCCGGGUAUGUUUUCACCUAAUAGUGGUAUUCACUUUUUUAUUCUGUUGCAAAUUUAUAUUCUUCAAGCAAUUCAACUAGGGAUAUGUGACCAUGCUAGCCUUCUCAUUUUCUUAACACGUUCACAUUUUGAUAGCAAGCCAUUUAUACAUUGAUAUGGAGAGGAAAAUAUAAUGUAGUUUCACCUAGUCUAUGGGAAUAUGCAUGCACUUAAUUAUAAAAAUAUAAAAACGGAGCUUACCUUCAAGUAAAAUUCUUUGCAUUCAUCCCUUGCCUGUUGACAAUAGUUAACAAAAUGAAAAAUAUGAAUAAUUCAUGUGGAAAGUUUUACUUGGACACCAAUUCAAAACAUUUAAAUAAUUUCACAGAGUUUUACAUCACUCGAAGGCCAUAGCUUCAAGAAUUAAUCAUCAUUAUGAAAGAUGGAAACUUUGCAAUUCUAAAUUAAGAAUGCACUUAAGCAAUUGAUUUGUUAAGUUAAAUAAGUGUUGGAACUUUUAAUGAUUUUAUUGAUUUACAUUUUAAUAAACAAAGGCUAUGCAUUGAAAAUAUUAUAGAACCACUACUUGCUUAUAUCUUUUACAUUGUUACUAAUGUGGAGCAAACCAUCAUAAUUAGUUGAGAUUAGAAUAGUAGCUCAUGCGUACAUCCCAAAAUAAAUAUUAUGGAUAUUUAAAAGACACCAAUCACACAACAUACAUUAUCUGUGUUUUAAUCCUUGAAAAGCAUAUAUUUUGGUGUUAUCAAUGCUCAUGCUUAUGGUAUGAUUAUUUGGUUAUGAAUUACAAUAACAUUUGGUUCACUCACACAAAGUGCUCCAUCAAAGCCCUGUUCCAGGCAGGCACCUAAAACCUUGCUAAGCGUAGGCAUACAAAGCCCUACUCCGUGCAGGCACCUCAAGCCCUGCUCCUCGCAGGCACACAAAGCUCUGCUCCGCGCAGGCAUUUUAAAGCCCUGCUCUGCGCAGGCACCUCAAAACCCUGUUUCACGGGGUGCCUUUCUUCUUGGCACAGAAAGGGACACCGUGCGGCAGUAGUCUGCUCCGCUAGACUACCUUCCGCCUUUUCUCGGUCGCGUCGGGACGAAAGAAAAUUUGAUUGCAAUUUUGUAGAAAGCUUACAAUUGAGAAUUUGAAUACAUUGAAAGUAAAUUGAACAUUGAUUGCUGAAAACUGAACAUUACAAUUGAUGAAAGCAGAAAAUUACAAAUGCUGGUGCAGGGGGCGGACACCAGUGAGUUUGAAAGAUUUUUGAAUGACUAAUACCCCCUAUAAUAGCAUUCUGAACAAAAACCCAAGUGACGGGAGAGACGUUUAAAAGACGAGGAAUCAUACUAAUCUUUUACCAAUAUCAGAGCUAUUUUACAAUUAAAAUAACUAUUACAAUGAAACGAAAAUUACAACUCAAACUUAAAGUAAUAUUUACAAUGUGCGGCCGAAGUUGGGCAAACUGCGGCUGCGAUAGUGUCAAGGGGCUAAGUAAAGCUGCGGUCCUUGACACCCUGUCCCGUGCAGGCACCACAAAGCCCUGCUCCGUGUAGGCACCUCAAAGCCCUGUCCCAUGCAGGCACCACAAAGUCCUGCUCCGCGCAGGCACCUUAGAGCCCUGCUCCGUGCAGGCACACAAAGCCAUGCUCCGCGCAGGUACCUCAAAGCCCUGUCCCGCGUAGGCACCACAAAGCCCUGCUCCGCGCAGGCACACAAAGCCAUGCUUCAUGCAGGUACCUCAAAGUCCUGUCCCGUGCAGGCACCACAAAGCCCUACUCCGCACAGGCACACAAAGCCCUGCUCCGCCCUGUCCCUCAAAGCCCUGUCCCGUGCAGGCACCACAAAGUCCUACUCCGCGCAGGCAUACAAAGCCCUGCUCCGCAUAGGCACCUCAAAGCCCUGCUCCACGCAGGCACCUCAAAGCCCUAUCCCGUGCAGGCACCACAAAGCCCUGCUCCGCACAGGCACACAAAACCCUGCUCUGCGCAGGCCCACAAAGCCCUGCUCCGUGCAGGCACCUCAAAGCCCUAUCUCAUGCAAGCACCACAAAACCUUACUCCGCGCAAGCACACAAAGCCCUACUCCGUACAGGCACCUGAAGCCCUGCCCCGGGCAGGCAUACCAAAGUCCUAUCAAAAGCAAGCAACACAAAGCCCUAUCCCGCGCAAGCACCAAAAGCCCUGUCACAAGCAGGCACAUUAAAGCCUUGCCUUGAGUAGGUACAUCAAAGCCCUGCCCCAAGCAGGCACCUCAAAGCCCUGCCCCGAAUAGGCACCAAAGCCCUGUCACGAGCAAGCACAUCAAAAGCCUUGACCCGCGCAAGCACAAAAGCCCUAUCCAUCGCAGGCAUCAAAGUCUUGCCCCAUGCAAGCACAAAAACCCUAUCACAGGCAGGCACCAACAAAAGCCAUGUCAUGCGUAGGCACCUAAGUCUUGUCCCACGCAAGCACCUCUAAGUCUCGCAAUGCAUCAAGUAAAAAACCCAACCAUGGUCUAUCUCGAGCUUGCCAGGCUCGACCUAUUCUCAAAUUCAUCAGAGCAAAAAUCGAAAUAUUAUUUCAUGUUCGGCUCGGGGGGCCUAUCCUCGAGGUCAACAUAUUGUCAAAAACCCAGCCACAAGAGCUCAGGAUAAUAUUUCACAUUGGACUCGGGUUAUGUUCUGGAACUCAAAUUAUUGUCAAAUCCCAGCCAACAAGCUUGAGAUAAAUAUAUUCAGAAUAGGAUUGAGCUUCCACUUAGCCUCCUAUAUGAAACUUUGUCUAUUCGUCAAACUCAUUACUUCCAAAACUUUUAACGAAGCUCGAGGUCGAGGUCGAGCUCGUUCUUUUCAACUUCUAAACAAGGUAGAGGUCAAGCUCUUUCACUUCAAGUACUGAUAAAGCUUGAGGUUGAGCUGAUUCAUGCCAAAUUCUUUUACAAGGUCGAAGUCGAACUCAGUUCUCUCCAAAAUUUCAACAAAGGCAGGAUCAAGUCCUUUCUUUCAAAAUUCAUAUUAAGCCUUAAGAUCGAGCUUAUUCCUUUCAAAUUUUAAAUAGUCAAUACUUGUUAUCCUAGACCUAUGUGCUCGGGGGCCUAUCGACUCGAUAUGAGCAUGCUUAUUCUAGAACUUAAUAUACUUAUGCAUCUCAUGCAAGGAACUCUCACAUUGCGCAUGAGCUCCUGACAUGGAUGUACGGGAGCCUAUGACGUGUACAAAAAUUAUAGCCCAACCCCGAACUUUCAAGCAUGGCCCAAGGUCAAUACCUCGACCACUCUCGUCUUCAAAUAUCCUCUAAAAAGUGGUCGGGCCUCUUAAAAGUCGGGCCUAAUAAUCUGGCCCUGCUAAGGUCAGGCCCACAUGCCAAAAUAUGGUCCUCGUCUCAACACUUUUUACGUGUUUUAGUCCUCUUAUAACUCAAUUACUCUAUCUGAUGAGGAUAAGAACUUUAAAUGGUU
rnacentral:lncRNA from 1 species